GGAUGUGAGAGCGAUCUGGCUGCUACAUUUGUCACCCCAUUGACCGCCAGGGUUGAUUCAGCUGAUCUGGCUGGCUCUCACUGCUCCAUGUGCGACCCUCCCGAAGCUGUGCGCUCUAUCAAAGAGGACGACCUUCCCCGAUAGAGGAGAAGACCGUUCUUGGGUCAAGGGUAUACGAGUACCUGCGCUCCCCUGCUAGAACCUCCAAACAAGCUCUCAAAAGUAGAUGUCCUUUAGCAAAGAGAAAGUAUGAAUGUAGCCCGUUAUGUUCUGGGGAUGAUAUUAUACUCCCUAUUAAU
rnacentral:snRNA from 1 species